UGCUUAUACCUCAGUCGGUAGAGCAUGAGACAAUUAAUCUCAGGGUUGUGGGUUCGAUCCUUACAUUGGGCAA